GCCUGGGCGUGUAGUCUCAGCUUUCUGGAGGCUGAGACAGGAGGGAGUCCUGGGCUGUAGUGUGCUAUACCAAUCAGGUGUUCACACUAAGUUUGGCAUCAAUACGGUGACCUCUGGGGAGUGGGGGCCACCAGGUUGCCUAAUGAGGGCUGAACUGGCCCAGGUCAAAACUCCCAUGCUGAUCAGUAGAGUGGGUUAUGCUGGAAAAAACAAACAAACAAACAACCAGUCCAGUCCCACUCUUGCCAU
ensembl:misc_RNA Metazoa_SRP Metazoan signal recognition particle RNA